AGAGAGACAGAGGAUAGCAGGUAGAGAGAGACAGAGGAUAGCAGGUAGAGAGAGACAGAGGAUAGCAGGUAGAGAGACAGAGGAUAGCAGGUAGAGAGACAGAGGAUAGCAGGUAGAGAGACAGAGGAUAGCAGGUAGAGAGAGAGACAGAGGAUAGCAGGUAGAGAGAGAGACAGAGGAUAGCAGGUAGAGAGAGAGACAGAGGAUAGCAGGUAGAGAGAGAGACAGAGGAUAGCAGGUAGAGAGAGAGACAGAGGAUAGCAGGUAGAGAGAGAGACAGAGGAUAGCAGGUAGAGAGAGAGACAGAGGAUAGCAGGUAGAGAGAGAGACAGAGGAUAGCAGGUAGAGAGAGAGACAGAGGAUAGCAGGUAGAGAGAGAGACAGAGGAUAGCAGGUAGAGAGAGAGACAGAGGAUAGCAGGUAGAGAGAGAGACAGAGGAUAGCAGGUAGAGAGAGAGACAGAGGAUAGCAGGUAGAGAGAGAGACAGAGGAUAGCAGGUAGAGAGAGAGACAGAGGAUAGCAGGUAGAGAGAGAGACAGAGGAU